AAUGUACUCCCUCCGUCCAACAAAAGAUGUCUCAACUUAAUUUGAAUUCAUCUAUACAUUAAGUUAUGUCUAGAUACAUCCAAAUUUUGACAAAUUUGAGACAUCCUUUGUUCGACGGAGAGAGUAACUU
rfam:Brachypodium distachyon strain Bd21 chromosome 5, whole genome shotgun sequence.